rnacentral:rRNA from 1 species
GAUAAACGCUGGCGGCGCACAUAAGACAUGCAAGUCGAACGGAAGUCGUUGUAAUGAAAUAGAAACGGACAGAGAACUUGUUCGAAGAAAGUGGAAGUAGACUUACAACAAUGGCUUUAGUGGCGGACUGGUGAGUAACGCGUAAGGAACCUGCCUUCUAGAGGGGAAUAACAAUGAGAAAUCAUUGCUAAUACCGCAUAUGCCGAGAGAAUCACAUGGUACAAUCGGGAAAAGAGUAAUCUGCUAGAAGAUGGCCUUGCGUCUGAUUAGAUAGUUGGUGGGGUAACGGCCUACCAAGUCGACGAUCAGUAGCCGGACUGAGAGGUUGAACGGCCACAUUUGGGACUGAGAUACGGCCCAGACUCCUAUGGGAGGCAGCAGUCGGGAAUAUUGCGCAAUGGAGGAAACUCUGACGCAGUGACGCGCGUUAUAGGAAGAAGGUUUUCGGAUUGUAAACAUUGUCGUUAGGAAG